AAUCGAAAAGACUUGCCGUGACCGCUCUUUGCUGGUGAGUUUAACAUGCUUUAAAUUUUGUACGUUUUGCAUACCUCAAACUUUAUGUUUCAUUAUGUUACUUCAUUUUCUUUAGGAAUCACAAAUACCAUGAUUUGUUUGCAGUCGGACAUGGAUCUUGUAAGUCAAUUACACAAUCUAAUAUAUACAGUUAAUAAUAUUUAUUUCAGAAUGGCGCUGUAAUUAUUUAAUUUUGUAGAUGACUUUCUCAAGCAAACCAGAGGGAUGAUAUGCUUUUACAGUUUGAAGAACCCAUCUUAUCCUGAGUACGUUUUGCUGAAGUUGUUUCUGCUUGUAUUGUAGGUCGUGAAACAUAAUUUAUAAAUGUGGUUCUGCAGACGCAAUUAAGUUACUAAAAGCACUUACUUUAUAUAAUAAAUAUUAUUAUACAGCUAUAUUGCCAUGUAAUUCAGAGUGAUAAUGCUUAAUUAUUGCUAACCGGAGAGACCCUUUACCAGGAUUGUAUUAAUUGUGGUUAUAUAUGAUUGUUUUUAGGUAUAUAUUCCAUACAGAAAGUGGUGUAAUGUGUUUAGAUGUUCAUCCUGAGCACUCCAAUCUUGUCGCUGUUGGAUUUUAUGAUGGUAUAGUA